rnacentral:rRNA from 1 species
GAUCAUGGCUCAGGAUGAACGCUAGCUACAGGCUUAACACAUGCAAGUCGAGGGGCAGCAUGAACUUAGCUUGCUAAGUUUGAUGGCGACCGGCGCACGGGUGAGUAACACGUAUCCAACCUGCCGAUGACUCGGGGAUAGCCUUUCGAAAGAAAGAUUAAUACCCGAUGGCAUAGUUCUUCCGCAUGGUGGAACUAUUAAAGAAUUUCGGUCAUCGAUGGGGAUGCGUUCCGUUAGG